rnacentral:rRNA from 1 species
UACAGAGACUGCAAGCGUUAUUCGGAUUCACUGGGCGUAAAGGGUGCGCAGGCGGCCGUGUGUGUGAGGCGUGAAAGCCCGGGGCUCAACCCCGGAAUUGCACCUCAAACUACAUGGCUAGAGCAUUGGAGAGGGAAGCGGAAUUCACGGUGUAGCAGUGAAAUGCGUAGAUAUCGUGAGGAACACCAGAGGCGAAGGCGGCUUCCUGGACAAUUGCUGACGCUCAGGCACGAAGGCGUGGGGAGCGAACAGG